rfam:Cetobacterium ceti strain ATCC 700028 genome assembly, contig: EI52DRAFT_scaffold00001.1
AAACCAUCAAGAGAGACCGAGGGACUGGCCCUAUGACGUUUCAGCAACCUACCAUUAUGGUGUGGUGCUAACUCCAGAUAGAUGGGAG